ACAGUUCGGUCCCUAUCCGCUGUGCGCGUAGGAAUAUUGAGAAGGGCUGUCCCUAGUACGAGAGGACCGGGACGGACGAACCUCUGGUGUGCCAGUUGUCCUGCCAAGGGCAUGGCUGGUUGGCUACGUUCGGAAAGGAUAACCGCUGAAAGCAUCUAAGCGGGAAGCCUGCUUCGAGAUGAGUAUUCCCACCCCCUUUGAGGGGUUAAGGCUCCCAGUAGACGACUGGGUUGAUAGGCCAGAUGUGGAAGCCCGGUAACGGGUGGAGCUGACUGGUACUAAUAGGCCGAGGGCUUGUCCUC
rnacentral:rRNA from 1 species